rnacentral:rRNA from 1 species
UUAGGAAUCUUGCGCAAUGGGAGAAAUCCUGACGCAGCAACGCCGCGUGAGGGACGAAGGCCUUCGGGUUGUAAACCUCUUUUGGUUGGGACGAUUCAGGACGGUACCAACAGAAAAAGCACCGGCUAACUCUGUGCCAGCAGCCGCGGUGAUACAGAGGGUGCUAGCGUUAUUCGGAAUUACUGGGCGUAAAGCGCGCGCGGGCUGUUUGGCAAGUCUACUGUGAAAGCCUCCGUUUCAAGCGGAGAAGUGCAGUAGAUACUACCAGACUAGAGUGCAGGAGGGAGGAGCGGAAUUCCAGGUGUAGAGGUGAAAUUCGUAGAUAUCUGGAGGAACAACGGUGGCGAAGGCGGCUCCUUGGACUGUAACUGACGCUGAGGCGCGAAAGCGUGGGGAGCAA